rnacentral:rRNA from 1 species
CACUCAUUCAAAGAGUGCGUAAUAGCUCACUGGUCGAGUGAUCCUGCGCCGAAGAUUUCCGGGGCUAAAACUUACUACCGAAGCUACGGCAUCAGUAAUGAUGGGUAGGGGAGCUUCCCAUACGGGUUGAAGCAUGACCGUAAGGACAUGUGGACAGUAUGGGAGUGAGAAUGUUGGCAUGAGUAGCGAGAUGUGGGUGAGAAUCCCACAGGCCGUAAACCCAAGGUUUCCAGGGGAAGGUUCGUCCGCCCUGGGUUAGUCGGGACCUAAGCUGAGGCCGAAAGGCGUAGGUGAUGGACAACAGGUUGAUAUUCCUGUACUACCGAUAACCGUUUGAGAGAUGGGAUGACACAGUAGGAUAAGCUAAGCACACUGUUGGUUAUGUGUGCCCAAGCAUUGAGGCAGUCAAAGUAGGCAAAUCCGCUUUGAUAAUGCUGGGAUGUGAUGGGGAGCGAAAUUUAGUAGCGAAGUAGCUGAUUUCACACUGUCAAGAAAAGUCUCUAUCGAGGUUAAAGGUACCCGUACCGCAAACCGACACAGGUGGGUGAGGAGAGUAUCCUAAGGCCAGCGAGAGAACUGUUGUUAAGGAACUCGGCAAAAUGACCCCGUAACUUAGGGAUAAGGGGUGCCACCAUCAGGUGGCCGCAGAGAAUAGGCCCAAGCGACUGUUUACCAAAAACAUAGGUUUCUGCUAAGUCGCAAGACGAUGUAUAGGAGCUGACGCCUGCCCGGUGCUGGAAGGUUAAGGGGAUCUGUUAGAGCAAUCGAAGCAGUGAACUUAAGCCCCAGUAAACGGCGGCCGUAACUAUAACGGUCCUAAGGUAGCGAAAUUCCUUGUCGGGUAAGUUCCGACCCGCACGAAAGGCGUAACGAUUUGGGCACUGUCUCAACAACAGACUCGGUGAAAUUGUAAUUCCGGUGAAGAUGCCGGAUACCUGCGACAGGACGGACCGACCCCUUGGGGCUUUACUGUAGCUUGACAUUGGGAUGUGGUCCGACCUGCACAGGAUAGGUGGGAGCCUUUGAGACCAGGACGCCAGUUUUGGCGGAGCCAUCCUUGGGAUACCACCCUUGUAGUACUGGGACUCUAACCAUAG